AUUGAACGCUGGCGGCAGGCUUAACACAUGCAAGUCGAGCGGAGUGAUGGUGCUUGCACUAUCGCUUAGCGGCGGACGGGUGAGUAAUGCUUAGGAAUCUGCCUAUUAGUGGGGGACAACAUCUCGAAAGGGAUGCUAAUACCGCAUACGUCCUACGGGAGAAAGCAGGGGAUCACUUGUGACCUUGCGCUAAUAGAUGAGCCUAAGUCGGAUUAGCUAGUUGGUGGGGUAAAGGCCUACCAAGGCGGCGAUCUGUAGCGGGUCUGAGAGGAUGAUCCGCCACACUGGGACUGAGACACGGCCCAGACUCCUACGGGAGGCAGCAGUGGGGAAUAUUGGACAAUGGGGGGAACCCUGAUCCAGCCAUGCCGCGUGUGUGAAGAAGGCCUUAUGGUUGUAAAGCACUUUAAGCGAGGAGGAGGCUCUUUUGGUUAAUACCCUUGAUGAGUGGACGUUACUCGCAGAAUAAGCACCGGCUAACUCUGUGCCAGCCGCCGCCGUAAGAC
rnacentral:rRNA from 1 species